rnacentral:lncRNA from 1 species
AUAAAAAUGGAAGAAAAAGAAAGGUAUGUUUAUUGUUUUUGGGGGUUCUACGAAAAAUCAUCCAAUUGGUACAACAUAUACCCAAACUUUAAAGGUUUUUUUUGUUUAUUGGAUAAAAAUUUAUGUAGGCCACACCUUUUUGAGAAGAAUAACGUGAUGUUUGAUAGGACAAAAAAAAUUUCAAGUGAAAUCUCCACUGUUAAUUAACUCAAAUCAUAUUUCAAAACCUGUAGAUAGGGCGAGAAAUAAAUUUUGAGAUUCAAAAUGAGUGUGAUUUAUAAUAAGAUCGUUAGUUUAGAAGAUUUACAAAAUAUGUGUGUCUUAUAUAUAGAUGUUUUGUCCUUAAUUAAUGAUAAUUUCUUUAAAUUUCAUUUUUAUCCUUCAAAUAUUUUUUACUACAAUCGUUGGACAAAUUACUUUUAAUAAAAUAAAAAAAGUAUAAUUUUAAGAAAAUUGACCUAACUUUUCUUUCUAUUUAAAGUAAUUUUUUUAUCUGCUUUAUUUUUUAAAAUUUUAAAAUCGUUUUGUGAAAUUUUUUACCCAUUAAUUAAUAUUUUAUAUUUUUCUCUUUUUCUUAAUAAAAAGAAUUAAAAAUAUAAAAAAAUUAUCGAAUUUAAGAGAAGUUUACUAAAAAUAAUAAUUUAUUUUUAUUUUUAAUAAAAUUUUUUUGUUAUAUUUUUAGGCUCUUAUCUCACAAUACUUAUAAUCCUCUCCAAUUUUAAUCACACCUCCUACCUCAUUUAUUACUCCAACAUUCACCAAUUGCGAACCAUACCUGUGUUGUCGCGUCGAAGCACGUUUGAUGGAGAGCAGAAAGUACAAGUCAUGGGAGGAGAGAGAGUGAAAGUGAUGUUUUUGGGCGACAAAAAUAAUUUGAGGUGAAAUCUGAGCUGUUGGAUCAACUCCAAUGAAUUUGAGUCAUAGAUAGCGAGAGAUAGAUUUUAUAUUCAAAUAAAUCCUGAUUUAUAAUAUAGAUUUUCAAAAAAAAAUCCUGAAAUCGAGCCUUUUUUGGAAACAUUUUUAACUUUCUAAGUUGUUUCGAACUUUUCACUGUUUUUUUUUUGUCUUAAAAUAUGAAAAUCAAAACUUCAAAAAUAUGAAAACAAUACCAAACAUAUCUAGAUCACCAUGUGAAUGUUGGAUUCAUAACAUAUCUAGAGAGAGAGAGAGUGCGUGCUUAUAUUGAAGCACACAAGUCCAAUUUUGACUGUAAGUGGGUCCCAUUAUUUUCGUCAAUUGUAAGUACCUUUUCUAGUUGGUGUUGGGUUGUGUGGUUGUAAUCCCCUGAUCAUUUGAUGAGAAAAUCAAACCCAAUGAAGCCUCAAAGGCUAUUGUAUUAGAUACGGACCAAUAUGCAUCAAGAAUUGGGAAUUGGGAACUCUAGAACCGAUAUUUAUUAAUAACACAAUUUAAAACCAUGAUCAAAGUAAGCAUUCCCUGGUGUUCUAGUUUUGGAGAAGAGAAGUUCUAUUGUAACUGAUAAUUUGUCCUUAAUAGAAAGGGAUGGGAUGGUAAUAACUAGGUUCGGAGUGGAGUAUGGGACUGAUUUUCAAAACCCACUAAGUUUUAGGGCGGGUUAUGGUUUAGGUUCUUGGGGGGGCCAAUCUCGCCUCGAUUAGAGAUAAAAUUAUAAAAUAUCUCCAUUUAAGUAUAUUUAAGGUUUGAACUUAUUUUUAAAGGUGUUCAAGGAAAUUACUAUAGUGUUCUAUGAUUGGUUGUUUUUAUAUACAAGUUGAGGUAAAUAUUAUGAUUAUAUAAUUUUAUGUGUUUUCAUUGUACGAUAAUGUUUUCAAAAUUAUUAAAAAAAGACAAAAAAAAAUAGGUGAGGUGAGGUGAGGUGGGGUGUUGUGUUUUCAUUGUACGAUAAUGUUUUCAAAAUUAUUAAAAAAAGACAAAAAAAAAAUAGUGUUGUGUUUUCCAUGUGAAUCUAAAUCAUUCAUUUUAAAUUCUGAAAACUUUCUUUGUUCAAAUUCUAAGACUGUAGCAGUGUUGCAAAUCAAACAGAUAACGCCCCUUAAGUUAAGGAUGGAAUAUUGCAUGGGCAAUUAAGCCUAGUUUGGCCUUGUUUUUUUUUAUAAAUAUUUUAGCUAUUUUGAUUUUUGAAUUUUUGAUUUUUAAUGAUUUUUUUUUCACCUUUUGAUCAAAAAUUUAUAAUUUUUUAAUUAUUCUUGAUAAGAAAUAUAAAAAUAUUAAGUUAAGGAUGGAAUAUUGCUCGGGCAAUUAAAGCCUAGUUUGCCCUUGGUUUUUCAGAGUAUUUUAGCUACUUAGAUUUUUGAAUUCACCUAUUUGAAAAGAAAAAAUUCAGACCUAACACAUUUUGCAUAAUAUGCACAAAGUGAUUACUCUCAAGAUGAACUCAUAAGCUCAUGUUUAGGAAGUCUUUGGCACUUAACUAAUAAUUUUCACUUGAAAAAAAAAAUUACUAAAGAUAAAAAAAUAACUAAUUUGUGAAGUAAUAUUUUUUUCUCUAAUUUUUUUCUGAAAUUAGAUGAAUAAUUUU